AGGUGCUUGCACCUUUCAAGCGAGUGGCGAACGGGUGAGUAACACGUGGAUAACCUGCCUCAAGGCUGGGGAUAACAUUUGGAAACAGAUGCUAAUACCGAAUAAAACUUAGUAUCGCAUGAUAUCAAGUUAAAAGGCGCUACGGCGUCACCUAGAGAUGGAUCCGCGGUGCAUUAGUUAGUUGGUGGGGUAAAGGCUUACCAAGACAAUGAUGCAUAGCCGAGUUGAGAGACUGAUCGGCCACAUUGGGACUGAGACACGGCCCAAACUCCUACGGGAGGCUGCAGUAGGGAAUCUUCCACAAUGGGCGCAAGCCUGAUGGAGCAACGCCGCGUGUGUGAUGAAGGCUUUCGGGUCGUAAAGCACUGUUGUAUGGGAAGAAAUGCUAAAAUAGGGAAUGAUUUUAGUUUGACGGUACCAUACCAGAAAGGGACGGCUAAAUACGUGCCAGCAGCCGCGGUAAUACGUAUGUCCCGAGCGUUAUCCGGAUUUAUUGGGCGUAAAGCGAGCGCAGACGGUUGAUUAAGUCUGAUGUGAAAGCCCGGAGCUCAACUCCGGAAUGGCAUUGGAAACUGGUUAACUUGAGUGUUGUAGAGGUAAGUGGAACUCCAUGUGUAGCGGUGGAAUGCGUAGAUAUAUGGAAGAACACCAGUGGCGAAGGCGGCUUACUGGACAACAACUGACGUUGAGGCUCGAAAGUGUGGGUAGCAAACAGGAUUAGAUACCCUGGUAGUCCACACCGUAAACGAUGAAUACUAGGUGUUAGGAGGUUUCCGCCUCUUAGUGCCGAAGCUAACGCAUUAAGUAUUCCGCCUGGGGAGUACGACCGCAAGGUUGAAACUCAAAGGAAUUGACGGGGACCCGCACAAGCGGUGGAGCAUGUGGUUUAAUUCGAAGCAACGCGAAGAACCUUACCAGGUCUUGACAUCCUUUGAAGCUUUUAGAGAUAGAAGUGUUCUCUUCGGAGACAAAGUGACAGGUGGUGCAUGGUCGUCGUCAGCUCGUGUCGUGAGAUGUUGGGUUAAGUCCCGCAACGAGCGCAACCCUUAUUGUUAGUUGCCAGCAUUCAGUUGGGCACUCUAGCGAGACUGCCGGUGACAAACCGGAGGAAGGCGGGGACGACGUCAGAUCAUCAUGCCCCUUAUGACCUGGGCUACACACGUGCUACAAUGGCGUAUACAACGAGUUGCCAACCUGCGAAGGUGAGCUAAUCUCUUAAAGUACGUCUCAGUUCGGACUGCAGUCUGCAACUCGACUGCACGAAGUCGGAAUCGCUAGUAAUCGCGGAUCAGCACGCCGCGGUGAAUACGUUCCCGGGUCUUGUACACACCGCCCGUCACACCAUGGGAGUUUGUAAUGCCCAAAGCCGGUGGCCUAACCUUCGGGAGGAGCCGUCUAAGCAGAA
rnacentral:rRNA from 1 species